CGCAGGCGGUUUCGUCAGUCCGAUGUGACAGGCCACGGCUCAACCGUGGAAGGCCAUUGGAAACUGCGAGACUUGAGGACAGAAGAGGAGAGUGGAAUUCCACGUGUAGCGGUGAAAUGCGUAGAUAUGUGGAGGAACACCAGUGGCGAAGGCGACUCUCUGGUCUGUACCUGACGCUGAGGUGCGAAAGCAUGGGGAGCAAACAGGAUUAGAUACCCUGGUAGUCCAUGCCGUAAACGCUGAGUGCUAGGUGUUAGGGGUUUCGAUACCCGUAGUGCCGAAGCUAACGCAUUAAGCACUCCGCCUGGGGAGUACGACCGCAAGGUUGAAACUCAAAGGAAUUGACGGGGGCCCGCACAAGCGGUGGAGCAUGUGGUUUAAUUCGACGCAACGCGAAGAACCUUACCAGAUCUUGACAUCUUCCGCUACGCCUCGAGAGAGGCGGUUCCCCUUCGGGGGACUGAACGACAUGUGGUGCAUGGUUGUCGUCAGCUCGUGUCGUGAGAUGUUGGGUUAAGUCCCGCAACGAGCGCAACCCCUAAUCUUAGUUGCCAGCAUUCAGUUGGGCACUCUAAGGUGACUGCCGGUGACAAACCGGAGGAAGGUGGGGAUGACGUCAAAUCAUCAUGCCCCUUAUGAUCUGGGCUACACACGUGCUACAAUGGAUGGUACAACGGGAUGCGAACCCGCGAGGGGGAGCCAAUCCAGAAAAGCCAUUCUCAGUUCGG
rnacentral:rRNA from 1 species